rnacentral:rRNA from 1 species
UACGAAGGGGGCGAGCGUUGUUCGGAAUUACUGGGCGUAAAGGGCGCGUAGGCGGCGAACCAAGUCAGAUGUGAAGUCCUGGGCUAACCUGGGGACUGCAUUUGAUACUGGUUUGCUUGAAUUCGGGAGAGGAUAGCGGAAUUCCCAGUGUAGAGGUGAAAUUCGUAGAUAUUGGGAAGAACACCGGUGGCGAAGGCGGCUAUCUGGACCGACAUUGACGCUGAGGCGCGAAAGCGUGGGGAGCAAACAGG